GGGGGAUAUAGGGGGUGAGAGUAUAACAUUAUGUAUAUUGUGUGGGUUAAUCCUAUAGGUAUAUUCCU
rnacentral:tRNA from 1 species